CAACAGCCCUGCACACUACAAUGUCUCCAACUGAACUUACAGAGAGAAUGUGCAUACUGUGUCUGCCUGUACUCGUGGAGCUGUGCACAGGACAACCAGCUACAGAACGCGGAGGCUUUGUCUACGCCUAUUGGCAAAUCGGAGCUGCGGGGAUUGAUCUCCCAUGAUUUAGCACCAUGGUGUCCAAACAGUUCUGAAACACACUGGUUAUAGAUGUCAAACAAUACGUAGAAUAAUAGGAGCUUGACUUCAGUGCCUACUACUGGAUAUGGGGUAAGUAGAAGACUUGUCUAAUGCCCCUUCUUCCCAUAGACAUUAGUAACUUCCAGAAAUUAUGUCAACAGGCUAAAUUAACACCUUAUGUGUCCUUAGGCACAGCAUCUUCAGCUGUAGGCAGGUGGAACACUAACUUUGGUGUUGCACACAGUUUGAGAGAGGUAAGGAACUCCUAGGCAUAUGCCUACUGUGCCAAACUGGAAAUCUGGCCCUGACUGUAGUGUCUCUAUGUUCAAAAAAUUGCCCCCCCCCCCACCCAACAGAGCUAAAAUAUCAUUUAAGCUGAGCAUUCCAUAAUGCAAACAGCAAAGCAGACACCCAUCUUUUAAAGAACCUCCUCAGUUCCUCAACAUUUUUUAUCCAAAGUCAGGCUGACCAUCUCCCUCUGCAACUGUGCACCAUGACACGUGACAUCAUUAGAGCAUAGUACCAUCCUAUGAGUGAAGGAAAAGUCAUGCAGUUAGCGUUAUACUGCUGUGCAAUGAACUGUGAGUUUGGUGAAUCUAGUGAUCCUACAGGCUAACUAUCCUUAGGCACCAUAUAAAUCCCAAUAAGAAAAACUUUACUGCCUCCCUUCUCCUUGGCCAGCCAGAAGGUUAAGAAAUCUCAUCAGUGAAAGCAAGACACAAAACAACCCAAAAGGCAGAGGGUGAAAGUUAGCAUGUUUCCCCUUCCCUUUCAGCAAACCAAGUUACACUCACAAAACAAAAGGAAACAAGGUUAAAAUGAAGUUUAUUAGUUUUUUGUUUUGUUUUUUAAGCUUUUUUUAUAUAAAACUGUUUGUGAAACAGCUAUUUUAUUCCCAUGGCAGAGUGACCCCUGAAAGAUGCACUAACCCCUUCUUAAGGCCUUAACAAGAGAAAAUUUGUUUGUUUUUUUUAAAAAAACCUCAAACGCUUAAAAAUUACACAAUUUACAAAAAAAUAACCAUAUGGUAUAGGUUAUUAAAUUGACAUUCUCCCUUCGUUUGGGGGAAAAACCCACAAAACCCAAAACAACCCACCCACACACUGAAAAUGGAUUAACUGAACUUUCCUGGACAAUUUAGACACACAUUGAUUCCAUCAACAUUCAGACUUCCUGUUCAACUUCCCAUCCUGGCAGACAAACGAACAUCUUCCUCCAGCAGGCUUUCAAAAUAGAUGGCAGCCUUCUUGGAAUGAUUUAGGGGUGUACAUCAUUGCCAGGAAUGGCAGAAACACCCUCUCCCCACCCACCAAUGGGUGCAGACUAAUUUCACCUCUAUAAGGGCUGUGUAUAUUUGGCUAGCAGCAGCUACUUUUUACUUCAAAAGUCGCAUGACCUAGGAGUCAGAUGUUUUCAAGCUUCUAUUUUGAUUAACAAUAAAUAGUGUUUCUUGAAAAUAAAAUAUUGUAAACUCACUCCCUACACAUA